rnacentral:rRNA from 1 species
AACGCUAGCUACAGGCUUAACACAUGCAAGUCGAGGGGCAGCAUGGUCUUAGCUUGCUAAGGCCGAUGGCGACCGGCGCACGGGUGAGUAACACGUAUCCAACCUGCCGUCUACUCUUGGACAGCCUUCUGAAAGGAAGAUUAAUACAAGAUGGCAUCAUGAGUUCACAUGUUCACAUGAUUAAAGGUAUUCCGGUAGACGAUGGGGAUGCGUUCCAUUAGAUAGUAGGCGGGGUAACGGCCCACCUAGUCUUCGAUGGAUAGGGGUUCUGAGAGGAAGGUCCCCCACAUUGGAACUGAGACACGGUCCAAACUCCUACGGGAGGCAGCAGUGAGGAAUAUUGGUCAAUGGGCGAGAGCCUGAACCAGCCAAGUAGCGUGAAGGAUGACUGCCCUAUGGGUUGUAAACUUCUUUUAUAAAGGAAUAAAGUCGGGUAUGGAUACCCGUUUGCAUGUACUUUAUGAAUAAGGAUCGGCUAACUCCGUGCCAGCAGCCGCGGUAAUACGGAGGAUCCGAGCGUUAUCCGGAUUUAUUGGGUUUAAAGGGAGCGUAGAUGGAUGUUUAAGUCAGUUGUGAAAGUUUGCGGCUCAACCGUAAAAUUGCAGUUGAUACUGGAUAUCUUGAGUGCAGUUGAGGCAGGCGGAAUUCGUGGUGUAGCGGUGAAAUGCUUAGAUAUCACGAAGAACUCCGAUUG